rnacentral:hammerhead_ribozyme from 1 species
AGCCGAAACGCGGGUAUGGCCCGCGUCUGCCGGAGAUGGCCACCCGGCACUGAUGAGGCAGGCCAAC